GGGGAAUGCGGAAGGAUCAUUA
rnacentral:rRNA from 1 species